UACGUAGGGUGCGAGCGUUGUCCGGAAUUAUUGGGCGUAAAGAGCUUGUAGGCGGUUUGUCGCGUCUGCUGUGAAAAUCCGGGGCUCAACCCCGGACUUGCAGUGGGUACGGGCAGACUAGAGUGUGGUAGGGGAGACUGGAAUUCCUGGUGUAGCGGUGGAAUGCGCAGAUAUCAGGAGGAACACCGGUGGCGAAGGCGGGUCUCUGGGCAAUAACUGACGCUGAGGAGCGAAAGCGUGGGGAGCGAACAGG
rnacentral:rRNA from 1 species